CUGAUGUUAGCGGCGGACGGGUGAGUAACACGUGGAUAACCUACCUAUAAGACUGGGAUAACUUCGGGAAACCGGAGCUAAUACCGGAUAAUAUUUUGAACCGCAUGGUUCAAAAGUGAAAGACGGUCUUGCUGUCACUUAUAGAUGGAUCCGCGCUGCAUUAGCUAGUUGGUAAGGUAACGGCUUACCAAGGCAACGAUGCAUAGCCGACCUGAGAGGGUGAUCGGCCACACUGGAACUGAGACACGGUCCAGACUCCUACGGGAGGCAGCAGUAGGGAAUCUUCCGCAAUGGGCGAAAGCCUGACGGAGCAACGCCGCGUGAGUGAUGAAGGUCUUCGGAUCGUAAAACUCUGUUAUUAGGGAAGAACAUAUGUGUAAGUAACUGUGCACAUCUUGACGGUACCUAAUCAGAAAGCCACGGCUAACUACGUGCCAGCAGCCGCGGUAAUACGUAGGUGGCAAGCGUUAUCCGGAAUUAUUGGGCGUAAAGCGCGCGUAGGCGGUUUUUUAAGUCUGAUGUGAAAGCCCACGGCUCAACCGUGGAGGGUCAUUGGAAACUGGAAAACUUGAGUGCAGAAGAGGAAAGUGGAAUUCCAUGUGUAGCGGUGAAAUGCGCAGAGAUAUGGAGGAACACCAGUGGCGAAGGCGACUUUCUGGUCUGUAACUGACGCUGAUGUGCGAAAGCGUGGGGAUCAAACAGGAUUAGAUACCCUGGUAGUCCACGCCGUAAACGAUGAGUGCUAAGUGUUAGGGGGUUUCCGCCCCUUAGUGCUGCAGCUAACGCAUUAAGCACUCCGCCUGGGGAGUACGACCGCAAGGUUGAAACUCAAAGGAAUUGACGGGGACCCGCACAAGCGGUGGAGCAUGUGGUUUAAUUCGAAGCAACGCGAAGAACCUUACCAAAUCUUGACAUCCUUUGACAACUCUAGAGAUAGAGCUUUCCCCUUCGGGGGACAAAGUGACAGGUGGUGCAUGGUUGUCGUCAGCUCGUGUCGUGAGAUGUUGGGUUAAGUCCCGCAACGAGCGCAACCCUUAAGCUUAGUUGCCAUCAUUAAGUUGGGCACUCUAAGUUGACUGCCGGUGACAAACCGGAGGAAGGUGGGGAUGACGUCAAAUCAUCAUGCCCCUUAUGAUUUGGGCUACACACGUGCUACAAUGGACAAUACAAAGGGCAGCGAAACCGCGAGGUCAAGCAAAUCCCAUAAAGUUGUUCUCAGUUCGGAUUGUAGUCUGCAACUCGACUACAUGAAGCUGGAAUCGCUAGUAAUCGUAGAUCAGCAUGCUACGGUGAAUACGUUCCCGGGUCUUGUACACACCGCCCGUCACACCACGAGAGUUUGUAACACCCGAAGCCGGUGGAGUAACCUUUUAGGAGCUAGCCGUCGAAGGUGGGACAAAUGAUUGGGGUGAAGUCGUAACAAGGUAGCCGUAUCGGAAGGUGCGGCUGGAUCACCUCCUUUCU
rnacentral:rRNA from 1 species